UGCUGGCAAGGCAAGGGAGCCCCGCGCAGCAGCCCACACAGCCAACCUGACCGCGAGAGAACGGGCCGUCCAGUACCCUUUACAGUGUUACGAAGAUAAUGGCAAGUUAUUUUGCUCGGCCUGUGAAAAGGUGUUGGAUCAUACACGGAAAUCCACCAUUGAGGGUCACUUUAGGUCAAUGAAGCAUCAGAAUGCCUCGAAAAGAAGGAAAGAGUUGGAGACACCUCAGAUGUAGCCAUUGUUGCUUCCCAAAACAGUUAGCAGGUAGAAGAGAAAAAAUGUCUGUUCAAGUUUAAAACUCGGGGUCUGUACAACCGCUGGACUAGAGAAGAACGUCUGCUGAUCCAUGAAGCUUGCGCGAGGAUGGGUCCUGCAAAAGCAGCAAGGGAGUUAUCUCAACAGUUAGGGAAGAAGCUGAGUAUCUCUACUGUAAGAAGCAUUCACAAAAGUUACUCUGUGCCAUAGCUGUUACACAUAGACCUCAAACUGCAGCUUUCACAGCAAGGCGUCGGACAGAAGAAAGGAAAACCACACCGAGGAACAGCGCGAACGGUACAGAAAGUACGACGCUACAAGGCGGUCUAGAAAUUUCGUUGAGCACUGGCGCUCAGAGUUUGGUUGGGUUUACUACGACACGAACCUGAGGGUCAUGACCUGCACAACCUGCCUCAAGUACGGAACUAAAGAUGACAAAAAGACAAGAUUUGUAUCUGGAAACUCGAACUUCAAGCGACUGGCACUCGUCCGGCACGAGGUCAGUCAGACACACCGCCGCUGCGAGGCUCGGCGGACGGCAGAGUCAGCGCUGGCAGAUGCGCCCACGCCUGCUCAGUCAAGAUAAAGCUCCUGCAGUGCUGUGUAAGAUUCAAAGAUAAAGAGUGUCUGCCGUACUUAGCAGUAUAUGUGUAAGGAAAGAGACUAGUCUAAUAGGUUCUUUUACUUGGCAUAAAUUAUUCAUACGGUAAUUAUCAUGUGCAUAAAAGGUAAAUCUAAUACAUGAGAUGAUGUAUUAGGGCAGAAUUGUCUGUAGAUACAGUACUCUCUACUAGCAGAUGGAAUAUUGAUAGUUGAUAUACGUUUGAUAACUGAGAAAAGUGAUGCAAGGAAUAUAUGAAUGAUGUAUUUCAUGUCAUUGAUGUUUGUAAAAUGUUUGAAACCAUAAAUGCUCACCAGCGUCUAGUUCACAAGAUUAAAAAAAGAAGUCUGACGGUUGUAAGCAUAAAUGGGCAGUUGGACUUUUUUAAAACGUAGAUUCAUGGCCAAUCUAUUCCAGAGUAUAAUAUACAGUUUUUCAUGGUUGAGUGUAAGAUGUACAAUGAUUUAGGUCAAAAAAGAGUUGCUCAUUAAAGAAAGCAGCUUGGAUUUUAGCUGAAACCGAGGGAAUUUUUCCCUUAUUAAAGGAGGGAAAUGUAA